GUGGGGAAUUUUGGACAAUGGGCGCAAGCCUGAUCCAGCAAUGCCGCGUGCAGGAAGAAGGCCUUCGGGUUGUAAACUGCUUUUGUACGGAACGAAACGGUCCUGGCUAAUAUCCGGGGCUAAUGACGGUACCGUAAGAAUAAGCACCGGCUAACUACGUGCCAGCAGCCGCGGUAAUACGUAGGGUGCGAGCGUUAAUCGGAAUUACUGGGCGUAAAGCGUGCGCAGGCGGUGCUGUAAGACAGGCGUGAAAUCCCCGGGCUCAACCUGGGAAUUGCGCUUGUGACUGCAGUGCUGGAGUGCGGCAGAGGGGGAUGGAAUUCCGCGUGUAGCAGUGAAAUGCGUAGAUAUGCGGAGGAACACCGAGGGCGAAGGCAAUCCCCUGGGCCUGCACUGACGCUCAUGCACGAAAGCGUGGGGAGCAAACAGGAUUAGAUACCCGAGUAGUCC
rnacentral:rRNA from 1 species